rnacentral:rRNA from 1 species
UGAGACCGGCGCACGGGUGCGUAACGCGUAUGCAAUCUGCCUUUCGCAGGGGGAUAGCCCGGAGAAAUCCGGAUUAAUACCCCAUAGUAUAAUGGUGUGGCAUCACAUUAUUAUUAAAGAUUUAUCGGUGAGAGAUGAGCAUGCGUCCCAUUAGCUAGUUGGUGUGGUAACGGCACACCAAGGCUACGAUGGGUAGGGGUCCUGAGAGGGAGAUCCCCCACACUGGUACUGAGACACGGACCAGACUCCUACGGGAGGCAGCAGUGAGGAAUAUUGGUCAAUGGGCGCAAGCCUGAACCAGCCAUGCCGCGUGCAGGAUGAAGGUCCUACGGAUUGUAAACUGCUUUUAUACGGGAAGAAACCUCCGAACGUGUUCGGAAUUGACGGUACCGUAAGAAUAAGGAUCGGCUAACUCCGUGCCAGCAGCCGCGGUAAUACGGAGGAUCCAAGCGUUAUCCGGAAUCAUUGGGUUUAAAGGGUCCGUAGGCG